UCAUUCGGUUGGGCGAGUAAAGCAGCGAUGCGCUUAGGGAUGGGCCUGCGGCGGAUUAGGUAGUUGGUGGGGUAACGGCCUACCAAGCCGAUGAUCCGUAGGGGGCGUGAGAGCGUGGCCCCCCACACUGGCACUGAGACACGGGCCAGACUCCUACGGGAGGCAGCAGUGAGGAAUAUUGCACAAUGGGCGCAAGCCUGAUGCAGCAGCGCCGCGUGAGGGACGAAGGCCUUCGGGUUGUAAACCUCUUUUCUGAGGGACGAGGAAGGACGGUACCUCAGGAAUAAGUCUCGGCUAACUACGUGCCAGCAGCCGCGGUAAAACGUAGGAGGCGAGCGUUAUCCGGAUUUACUGGGCGUAAAGCGCGCGCAGGUGGCUUCGUGAGUCGGACAUGAAAGCUCCUGGCUUAACUGGGAGAGGCUGUUCGAUACUGCGGGGCUUGAGGUUGGGAGAGGGACGCGGAAUUCCCGGUGGAGUGGUGGAAUGCGUAGAUAUCGGGAGGAACACCAGUGGCGCAAGCGGCGUCCUGGCCCACACCUGACGCUGAGGUGCGAAAGCGUGGGUAGCAAACAGGAUUAGAUACCCUGGUAGUCCACGCUGUAAACGAUGUCAACUGGGUGUCGGUAGUUUUACACUAUCGGUGCCGAAGCUAACGCG
rnacentral:rRNA from 1 species